UAUGAGAGAGAACAAUUUCAACAGUUUAAUUUCUUUUGUUGUUGUUGUUUCCAUUGUUCUUUUGAAGAAAGGAGCCCCCAAUGAAUGUUAAACAUUUCACUAAGACAAAUCAUCAAAGGAAUACUCCUUACUGUUCCACUCAUUGCAAAAUUAAAAUCAAAUCCAAACACUUCAUUAAAUCUUUAAACCAUUCAUGAUAUAAAACAAGGCAAUAUUUGUGUUGCCAGGCCAAAGAUUUAUUCUCAAAUCAAACAUAUUUUAGUAUCAGGUAAUCCUUGAUUAACAAUCACAAUUGGGACUGGAAUUUCUGUCACUAAGUGAAGUGGUUUUUAAGUGUCACAUCCAAUUUUACCUGUGAUCUUCAAGCACAUUACUGUGAUUAAAUGAAUCAUGUGAUUAAAUCUAGCUUCCCCCAUUGACUUUGCUUUCAGGUCGGUAGGAAGGCUGCAAAUAGUGAUCACCUGACCCUGGGAGGCUGCAACCAUAAUAAAUAUAUAUUGGUUGCCAAGUGUCCAAAUUUUGAUCAUAUGACCAGAGGGAUGCUGGAAUAGCUACAACAGUUGUAAGUGUAAGGACUGGUUUGUAAAUCACAUUUUUCAGCACCACUGUAAAUUUGAAUGGUCAUUAAAUGAGUGAUUGUAAAUUGAGGGCUACAUAUACAGUAAUGGGAAGAAAAUAGUUGAUGUUCUUUGCUGUUAUGAAUUGAACUGAGCAAUAGUUCUUACAGCUUUUGUGCAAUUGCCUUCUUUAGUCUUUCAAGGGGCUGGUUUAAGUAUUAUUUUUCUAAAGAAAACGUUCAUGCUGGAGAGGAAGUCACAUAUGCUGUAUGCUAGUAUCAAAAUCAAUACUAUUACAGCAGCCUUUAAACAAAUCACAGUUCUUGCUUAAUCUUUAGAUCUUCCUUUGGGAUUAAUUAUUAAAAUGCAACUAUAAAAACGAACUAAUAGAAUGAAUAGGUCUUUUUAUUAUGGUUUCUGAUAAGAAGCAAAUAAAAUUCGUAACUGUAGUAUGUUGAAAUUGUAUGUGUCUCUGAAGAACUACAUGUCACAGCUUCAAUACUCACUGCAAUUUUGUGACAUGUUUGACAAGAUCAAUCAAAACUCUCUAAUGCUGAGAAUAGGUGUUGGCAAUGCAACUCUCCUGGAGCAGGCCGGGUACAAAAAUUGAUUAUAUGCUCUGUCACCAUGCCCUUUGAGCAAACAUUAGAGACAUAAUUUUUCUAAAAACCAUUCCAUUUAUUAUGAUUAUAUUCAGAAAAUGGUGAAUUUAUGGGAUGUUCCUAAUGGUAAAAACACCAAGAUCAGAUCGUAUGGCUUCAAGACUAUGGUAGUAGCAAAACAAAUCAUUGUCCAAAAUUUAAAAAAAUGCAGAGACGAGUACUUUGCAACUCUAACAGGAAAUAGUAAAACUUGCAGCAGAAGAAAAAAUAUUACAGAGUUAAAGAGCCGUGAUGGUACCAUAGUUAGAAUGCAUUAUUGCAGGCUAACUCUGCAUUCCCACUGCAAAGACUUCAAUCAUGACUGGCUCAAGGUUGACUCAGCCUUCCAUCCUUCCAAGGUCAGUAAAAUGAAAACCCAGAUUGUUGGGGGCAAAAAUGCUGACUCUAUAAACUGCUUAGAGUGGACAGUGUAAAGCACUAUGAAACAGUAUAUAAGCCUAAAUGCUAUUGCUAUUAUACAAUCAAAUGAACAAACAUAAACUGUUUUAAAGAUUAAGCAUGAAAACUUUCAUAUCUUAUGAGUAAAAGCGUGCCAGUAUAAAUAGGCUUCCAAAAUUAUAAUUCUACUUCAAAAUCCAAAAUCUAAUGAAAGGUAUUUUAUAUAUUGAUUGAAUAAUUUUUGCACUUGCGCUGUGCAAUGUUUUCAACUUACUGCUUUAAAGAUUUCCAGAGAAUGACGCAUUCUCUGGAAAUGUCCCACACAUUUUAAAUGGAUUCUGAAUGGCUACACAUUUAUAAUAUUUGUGCUUUGAAAAUAAAAUAAAAAUGAAAAGGGGCCAGAAGUAUAUUACAGCAUUGCAUAAAGACCAAAGUGUAGACCUCUAUCAGUUCAUAUAUCCAAUAAUGAUUGGGAUUACAGGGAUGACAUUGCACUGAACCAAAUUAAUUCAAAAAAAAAAAAAAAAGCCUUAAGAAUUGCAAUAGGAUAGAUGCAAAUUUGUCCACACAAGAAUAAAGAAACUUCAAUGGCCAUUGACUCAUUUUUCUAUCUACCUGUACUCAUUCUAUGUAGAGCACAGCUCUGAAAUGAAUAAUGUUAACUUUUAGAACAGAAACACAGAAAUACACCCUUUUGAAGUAGUAGAAUUCAUAAAUAGCAGCCAAAUACUGUAAAUUUAUUGAAAAAAAAUGCUUUUUGCAAAUUGGGUUACAAUUGAUUUAUCAGUUGUGACUUUUUCCUUUAAAUUUGGAACAGCGGAUUUUACAAACCACAUUGUUGGCCUCUGGCAUUCUAUAUAGAGCUGCAACUUUACAAAAUGACAUGGAAUGUAUAAAACCAAUUAAGAUAGUAGAUGAUAGUGAACUGUUAAAUAUUAUUAAUUUUUAUAGUUAACUUUACUGCCU